UAGUUUUUUUCUAAUUUUUUCGCUUGACAAGUUGUACCCAUUUUGUGAGAAUGUAUUUUGCACCUUUUUAUAGAAAGCCAUUUUGUUCCUAAAGUAGAGUUGCUGAUGAGUCCUUGUUAGCUCCAGUAAGAAUAGUGUCAUUUUAUGUGUUAUUUCUGUAAAAUGGAAAGAGAAAUAUUUUAACACCACAAAAAGAAAAAAGAAAGUAAUUCAACCACAGCACUGGCAUUUAUAUUUUUUACAGUCUUUGAUGCAAUACCUUGUGACUCAUGGCUGUCUGACUGGAUGGAGGGGGGUGACGUUUGAAUGGCUUCUGAAGGGUUUCCACAUACUGCACCAGAUUGGAGAGUAGCAGAUGGUGGGUCCUUGACAGUGGGGAGCUCUUGCUCUACAUAUUAUUACAAAACGCAUCCCAAUGCUGCAACAACUGCGUGUGGGCCUUGAGAUUAUACGAUCUAAUCAAAGUCAUCCAGAAAAAGCCACAGGAGUGUCAUGAUCUCUUUGUCAUUGGAUAUGAUGACAAAGUUGACUCCCAUUACAUUUUAUCCCACCUGGCCCCAGAGAUGAGCCCAAUUGGUUCGAUUAAACAAGUGAAAGAGUCAAAAAUCAUGGAAUUCUUUCAAGAUUUCCUACUUGAACUUGAAGACACACAACCAGAAGACGCAGCAGCAGGAGAAAACUUGUCUGUGCCAAAGAUAAUGCAGUGGAUGACUGGGCAAGCUCACAGGCAUCUGCUUGUGUCAGAAAGGGAGAAGUUUAAUAUAGUGUUUAAAUUUGACCAUUGCUGUCUACAGCACAUGCCAAACCACACUGUGUGUUACCCAAUUGUCAGUGCUUGCACCAAUACCAUAACAUUUCCUGUAGUCCAUAUGGUAGAUUACGAGUCUUUCAAAACACUCAUGCAAACUGCUGUUACAUAUGGGGCAAGCUUUGACAGAGUGUAAUGUAUAUCAAAGCAUUCUCUUUAAUUGCGUUAUUCUUUGUAAAAUUUUUAAAGGGGUAGUUCAUCCA